GGAGGAUUAGCUCAGUUGGGAGAGCACUUGCCUUACAAGCAAGGGGUCACUGGUUCGAGCCCGGUAUCCUCCACCA
rnacentral:tRNA from 1 species